rnacentral:rRNA from 1 species
GAUGAACGCUAGCGGCAGGCCUAAUACAUGCAAGUCGAACGGUGUAGCAAUACACAGUGGCGCACGGGUGCGUAACACGUAUGCAACCUACCUAUUAUUGGGGGAUAGCCUUUGGAAACGGAGAUUAAUACCGCAUAAGACAGUGACAUGGCAUCAUGUAGCUGUUAAAGCUUUGGCGAUAAUAGAUGGGCAUGCGUCCAAUUAGUUAGUUGGUGAGGUAACGGCUCACCAAGACGAUGAUUGGUAGGGGAUCUGAGAGGAUAAUCCCCCACACUGGCACUGAGAUACGGGCCAGACUCCUACGGGAGGCAGCAGUAGGGAAUAUUGGGCAAUGGACGGAAGUCUGACCCAGCCAUGCCGCGUGCAGGAUGAAGGCGUUAUGCGUUGUAAACUGCUUUUUUAUAGGAAGAAGACUCCCUUGCGAGGGAAAGUGACGGUACUAUAAGAAUAAGCACCGGCUAACUCCGUG